rnacentral:rRNA from 1 species
UACGUAGGGGGCAAGCGUUGUCCGGAAUCAUUGGGCGUAAAGCGCGCGUAGGCGGCCCGAUAAGUCUGCUGUGAAAGUCCAGGGCUCAACCCUGGAAUGCCGGUGGAUACUGUCGGGCUAGAGUUCGGAAGAGGCAAGUGGAAUUCCUGGUGUAGCGGUGGAAUGCGUAGAUAUCGUAAGGAAGACCAGUGGCGAAGGCGGGUCUCUGGACAGUUCCUGACGCUGAGGCACGAAGGUCAGGGGAGCAAACGGG